rnacentral:rRNA from 1 species
GACAGAGGGUGCAAACGUUGUUCGGAAUUACUGGGCGUAAAGCGUGUGUAGGCGGUCUCACAAGUCGGAUGUGAAAAUCCAGGGCUCAACCCUGGACCUGCAUUCGAUACGGGCAGACUAGAGUUCGGCAGGGGAGACUGGAAUUCCUGGUGUAGCGGUGAAAUGCGCAGAUAUCAGGAGGAACACCGGUGGCGAAGGCGGGUCUCUGGGCAGUAACCGACGCUGAGGAGCGAAAGCGUGGGGAGCGAACAGG